AAUUAAAAAAUACAAAAAAAAAAAAGAAAAAAAGAUCACAAAAAAAACAUAGCAAAAUUAAAUAAAGAAAUAUAAAAAAGUGUAUAGGUGGCAACAGCGGCAAACAAAAAACCGUAAUUUAUGGCAGUAACGGUGUGGCACACUUCGGCAACGCCUAAAAAGCGCAGCUGUAUGGUCAAAGUCAUUCAGGCCUUUGUUACAACAUUGAAUCCAGACUUUACACCGCACAAAAAUUUUCAAAACAGCGUUAUUUGUCAGCCAAUGAUGCCAAUAUAUCAAGCAGACAUCAGCAUGACACUUUUAUAUAACCAUUUGUGAUAAAAACAUAUUCACCUCUUGCUCAUAUUCACCAUAUGCAGUUGCUUUAUAUACAACAAUCCACUUACAAUAACUUUCAUAUCAUUUACAACAACAUAUAAAAUAACAAAGCAACAAUCAACAUUAUAUACCAUCUCCAUAUGGGAUACAUUACAUAAUACCACCAAAAUUUCAAACAAAUCAUGACAACAUCUGCUCAUAUUAGAGCGGUGCUGUUUUUUCGUCCUAAAACUUCGGUCAACGAAUAAGUGAACGCGAGCCGUCGGUUAGUCAUAACGCGUAAUAAAUCGUUUAAAAGUGAAUCACAAAAAAAUAGUGUAUGAGUGUUAGAAUAUGAAUGUUAGGGCAGUGAAAAAAGUGAUAACGCGAAAGAAUAAAUGUGCCGUGAAGGCAUUGCUCGAUAUGUGUUCCGAAUAGGUCUAUCGAAAGUGAAUUGUUUUGUAUGAAUAUAGGAGGAAUAUAGAGAAUAUAGAAGGAAAUUUUGAA